UCAGCGCGAAGGACGCUAGACGAUGGAUUGAGGAAAGAAUAUAUUUGUUCUGUACACAGAACACAGAGAAAAACGUUGCGCAGAUCUAGUGUCCGAAUAGCGCGGCAAUAAAAACGAAAAAUAAAGUUUAACUCGCGGAACUUUGCAUUGCUCUCCUCCAGUGAGCAUCAGCUUGAACAAGAACCUGCGGCUUUCAGCACCCACUUGACUCCGUGAGUUGUGAAUGGAGAACAAGGCAAUGUAUCUGACCACCACCAAUGAAGACAGGGAUAACAGCUCAUUCUUUGAGGAGGGCUAUGAUGGAAUGAAUCUAUCGAAACUCAACCUAUGUGAAGAAGGUUCAGCAAAGGGCAGGAGAAAAACUAAUAAUUGCUGUGGUCAAUUGGAUUCCUUCACUGCAAUCAAAUAUGCCAUUGUGUCCCUUUAUAUUCUGGUACUGCUCACCAUAUUUGGUCUCUGCAUAGCAGGUAGG